ACUAAGGACAGAGGAACGGAG
rnacentral:miRNA from 1 species